AGUGAACGCCGGCGGUAGGCCUAACACAUGCAAGUCGAACGGCAGCACAGUAAGAGCUUGCUCUUACGGGUGGCGAGUGGCGGACGGGUGAGGAAUACAUCGGAAUCUACUUUUUCGUGGGGGAUAACGUAGGGAAACUUACGCUAAUACCGCAUACGACCUACGGGUGAAAGCAGGGGAUCUUCGGACCUUGCGCGAUUGAAUGAGCCGAUGUCGGAUUAGCUAGUUGGCGGGGUAAAGGCCCACCAAGGCGACGAUCCGUAGCUGGUCUGAGAGGAUGAUCAGCCACACUGGAACUGAGACACGGUCCAGACUCCUACGGGAGGCAGCAGUGGGGAAUAUUGGACGAUGGGCGAAAGCCUGAUCCAGCCAUACCGCGUGGGUGAAGAAGGCCUUCGGGUUGUAAAGCCCUUUUGUUGGGAAAGAAAAGCAGCAGGUUAAUACCCCGCUGUUCUGACGGUACCCAAAGAAUAAGCACCGGCUAACUUCGUG
rnacentral:rRNA from 1 species